UGUAGCGUUGCAGAAUGGUCCUCGUUGCAGAAGUGUCUAACCAAUCAGAUUGUCUCUUGUAUCUCCCAUACCGUCCAUCCAAUCAAAGUGCCUUGUGAUCGUGUCUUGUACCUGGUGGAGAUCGUGCAAAGGGGAGAUCGUUCAUAGGGUCGUGUUGGAAUUGUUAACUUGGUGAAUCACUUUUUCAGCAUUUACCCUUUAUUCAAGGCUGGAAUGGCAGAAGAACCAGGAAACAUACAAGGUCUUUAUGGUGGCAGCAACCAAUUAUGUGCCCUAGCAAGAUUCAAACAAUGACAACAUGCAAGUGAGCACCAUCGCCUGAUCCAAGUGCCAACUGUGCCAGAAUGUGAACUUUUAUCGGAUCUGUAUCGUACAGUGAAAAAACGUUGUUUGAGAAGCUAAUCAUCCACCUUUCAACUGUGAUGGCGAGUAUUGAGAUUGCAGAUGUAACACAUCAUUUGAUUGAGACCUCGACACAGCUUGAGAUCGAAUCAGUACAAAUAGGGCGCAAGUGCAUAUAGUACAAGUAAAAUCCCCCAGCUUUCUGGUCUGUCUGAAGUUGAUCGGCCAAACUGUGACUCGCUUAAGCUGGCAACAAUGAAUCAGGUGGUUCCUGAUGAUACCCCCUGGUGAACCAGGUUAAUAUCCCUACCAUUUUCUGUUAUUAAAAAUGUAGAAAAUGGAUAUGGAGGGGACCAGUAACCUUGCGUUGUCUCUUUUUAUGUUUUAUUUUAAGACUCCACAACUAUACGUAGUAAACUGUAUGUCCAAUCGGGUCUUAUGGAGGUAAAUGACAGAGGGUCGUAUGACAGCAGUGCCGGAGAUAUGCUUUAAAUAUGAAUAGAGUCUAGUGGCAAAGUUUAACUAGCGCAGACUCCACAACCAUACGUAGUAAACUGUAUGUCCGAUCGAGUCUUAUGGAGGUAAAUGACGGAGGAUCGUAUGACGGCAGUGCCGGAGAUAUGCUUUAAAUAUGAAUAGAGUCGAGUGGCAAAGUUUAACUAGCGCAGAUUUGUGUAGUAAAUAAAUACAGCAUAUUGCAGUAGGGGAAUGUUGAUUUGGUUAGUGAACAGCUGAUUUAGGAAUAUGUUUCAUUGCCAUUCAGAGACAAUGGAGUCAUCAAGGAAACAUGUGAUUUAUUGAAAGAUUAUGCAAAUAAAUAGUUACAUAACUACAACAGAACAUUAAAAGCUAUGAUGUGACAAAGGUUGCUUCAGUAAUCAAAUUUGGAAAUCCAUCAUGCCUGCUGAAUAGAUGGACAAAGGUAGUAAAAGUCAAGUGUAACAUACAAGUGAAAAUCUCCUAGAGCUUGAAAUAAAACAAUGUAAAACAUGUGAA